rnacentral:tRNA from 1 species
UUGUUUCUUAGGUGAGACACUUUUGUUUCUCAGGGAAGAAACUUUUGUUCCUUAGGCAAGGCACUUUUGUUCCAACAGAAAGAAACGAA